GUCAGUGAAGGAGCGGGAGCUGUGAAACACACGUAACGAUAUAGAGAAGGUUAGCGUGGCCCUGCGCAAGGAUGGCACGCAAAAUCGUGAAACGCACUUAGUAUUA